rnacentral:tRNA from 1 species
GCCUAGUUAGCUUAGUUGAUAGUGCGUCUGCCUUGUAAGCGCUAGGCCGCGGGUUCGAUUCCCGCCCGGGGCC